UACAGAGGUCUCGAGCGUUGUUCGGAAUUACUGGGCGUAAAGGGCGCGUAGGCGGUCUCGUAAGUCCUGUGUGAAAUCCCCCGGCUCAACUGGGGAACUGCACAGGAAACUGCGGGACUUGAGUUCGGGAGAGGGAAGCGGAAUUCCGGGUGUAGCGGUGAAAUGCGUAGAUAUCCGGAGGAACACCGGUGGCGAAGGCGGCUUCCUGGACCGACACUGACGCUGAGGCGCGAAAGCUAGGGGAGCAAACGGG
rnacentral:rRNA from 1 species